CGGGCUGUGGCGCAGUUUGGUAGCGCACUUGGCUGGGGGCCAAGGGGUCGUGGGUUCAAAUCCCGCCAGCCCGACCA
rnacentral:tRNA from 1 species